rnacentral:rRNA from 1 species
UAUGAAGGCCAGGCUGAAGACUUUGCCGGAUUAGCUGAGAGGGUGGUGCAUGGCCGUCGUCAGUUCGUACUGUGAAGCAUCCUGUUAAGUCAGGCAACGAGCGAGACCCACGCCCACAGUUGCCAGCGUACUCUCUGGAGUGACGGGUACACUGUGGGACCGCCGCUGCUAAAGCGGAGGAAGGAAUGGGCAACGGUAGGUCAGUAUGCCCCGAAUAUCCCGGGCUACACGCGAGCUACGAUGGUUGGUACAAUGGGUAUCUACCCCGAAAGGGGACGGAAAUCUCCUAAAACCAAUCUUAGUUCGGAUUGAGGGCUGCAACUCGCCCUCAUGAAGCUGGAAUCCGUAGUAAUCGCGUUUCAACAGAACGCGGUGAAUACGUCCCUGCGUCCUU